GCGGGUGUAGCUCAGUUGGCAGAGCACAACGUUGCCAACGUUGUUGUCGUGGGUUCGAAUCCCAUCACCCGCUCUA
rnacentral:tRNA from 2 species